UUGCUUUGUAUAAUAGAUGACCUGUUUUCACAUUAAGAUCAGUGUAUUAGUACUUCUAUUGAUUAGGCACAUCUUAUUAAAAGAUGGGAAUCUUUUUUCUUUUAACUGCUUUUUGCAAUUGGUGUGUAACAUGGAAAGGAGAUAAACUCUGCAGUGGUUGCAGUAAAGUGCGGUACUGCUCUGAGAAACAUCAGGUAAAGAGCAAUUGGAUGAGAAUGAAGGAAAUAAUAUAGAGGAGCAAGACAAGGAUUAUAUUAAUCCAAUUGAGACUAAGGUCAUAGAUAAUACUGUGAAAGAGACAACAGUGAAGAAAACAUGAGGACCUACAGAAUGCUUGAAGAUUCAUGCAGGACAGUUGAAAGAUAGAGAAAAAAUUACUCUAGAUAUUGAAGGAGAGGCAAUUGGUCCUACUGAUGAAGUUGUAAACAACUUGAGCAAAUUGGGCACAGUGGCAAGGAAUUCAGAUAUUUGUCCAUUAAUUUUCACAAACUGCAAGGGGAUUAAAGAUAAAGAAGCUAUUUGGGAAUAUGUUCAAUUGAGAAUAUUAGUCUUGUUUCUUUUAGAAACAUAAGGACAUGUACACAUAUUUUAU